rnacentral:rRNA from 1 species
CUACGGGUCGCUGCAGUGGGGAAUAUUGGACAAUGGGGGAAACCCUGAUCCAGCAAUGCCGCGUGUGUGAAGAAGGCCUGCGGGUCGUAAAGCACUUUCGGUUGGGAGGACUGCUUCUAGCACUAAUAUUGUUGGAAGUUGACGUUACCUUCAGAAGAAGCACCGGCUAACUCCGUGCCAGCAGCCGCGGUAAUACGGAGGGUGCAAGCGUUAAUCGGAAUUACUGGGCGUAAAGCGCGCGUAGGCGGCUAGAUCAGUCGGGUGUGAAAGCCCCGGGCUUAACCUGGGAACUGCAUCCGAUACUGUCUAGCUUGAGUACAGGAGAGGAGAGUGGAAUUCCACAUGUAGCGGUGAAAUGCGUAGAUAUGUGGAGGAACACCAAUGGCGAAGGCAGCUCUCUGGCCUGAUACUGACGCUGAGGUGCGAAAGCGUGGGGAGCAAACGGGAUUAGAUACCCCUGUAGUC